rnacentral:misc_RNA from 1 species
AAAAAAAAAAAAAAGAUAGUGAUCUGAAGAAAGGAUAAGAAAGAAGGAAAGAAGGAGAAGAAGAAGAGGGGAGAAAGGAGGGGAAGAUGGCCAAAAUUUUUUAGAUUUCUCUCGCAAGAUAGAACACCCGCAAAGGGAAAAAAAAAAAAAAAGAUAGUGAUCUGAAGUAUAAGAAACAAAAGAGGGAAAGGGAAAAGAAGAUGAAUAGGAGCAGAAUCUGGAUUCUGCAGGGCAGCA